rnacentral:rRNA from 1 species
CCGACGAUACAGGGUGAUAGUCCCGUAGUUGACGACGUGUGUUCAGUGAAAUCGAGUAGGGCGGGACACGUGAUAUCCUGUCUGAAUAUGGGGGGACCAUCCUCCAAGGCUAAAUACUACUGACUGACCGAUAGUGAACCAGUACCGUGAGGGAAAGGCGAAAAGAACCCCUGUGAGGGGAGUGAAAUAGAACCUGAAACCGUGUACGUACAAGCAGUAGGAGCAGGCUUUGUCCUGUGACUGCGUACCUUUUGUAUAAUGGGUCAGCGACUUAUAUUCAGUGGCAAGGUUAACCAUCUAGGGGAGCCGUAGGGAAACCGAGUCUUAACUGGGCGUUCAGUCUCUGGAUAUAGACCCGAAACCAGGUGAUCUAGCCAUGGGCAGGUUGAAGGUUGAGUAACAUCAACUGGAGGACCGAACCGACUAAUGUUGAAAAAUUAGCGGAUGACUUGUGGCUAGGGGUGAAAGGCCAAUCAAACCUGGAGAUAGC